UACAGAGGGUGCGAGCGUUGUUCGGAAUUACUGGGCGUAAAGCGCGCGCAGGCGGCCUUUUAAGUCUGACGGUGAAAUGCCGGGGCUCAACCCCGUGCCCGCCGCGGAUACUGGGAGGCUGGAGACAUGUAGAGGCAAGCGGAAUUCCGGGUGUAGCGGUGGAAUGCGUAGAGAUCCGGAAGAACACCGGAGGCGAAGGCGGCUUGCUGGGCAUUGUCUGGCGCUGAGGCGCGAAAGCGUGGGGAGCGAACAGG
rnacentral:rRNA from 1 species